rnacentral:rRNA from 1 species
CCUCUAGUACAGAUCUUAGUAGUAGUAGUAAAUACUUAAAUAAAAACUUUAAGGACUAAAGUAGGGAAAGGUUCUGUAUAAAUAGUAGUUAGACACGGGUUAAUUAAUUCUAAGAGAUAAGGUAAUUCUGUUUUAAUAUUAGCGCUUACGCCGCGCCCUUAAAAGGGAAGCCGGUUAAAAUUCUAGUAUCUAGAUAUAGAUUCUCUGUAGUAACGUAACUAAGAGUGGAGACCUUGGUGGGAGCCCUAAAAAGAGUUCUCUUUUCUUCUUAAUAGUCUAUUACUCUAAAAUUAGUUUAUCUAAAGCUAGGGUUUAAUAGCUAGAAGAGUGCUGUACUUUUACAGCGUUUGGUGCGCUUUUAACGAGCCUUAAAAAUCUACUUAAAGAAAUAGUUUUUACGCUAGGUCGUACUUAUAACUGUAGUAGGUCUCUAAGGUGAACAGCCUCUAGUUAAUAGAAUAAUAUAGAUAAGGGAAGUUAGCAAAAUAGAUCUAUAACUUUAAAAAAAGAAUUAGCUCUAAGAGUUAGGUGCGUUAGGCCUUAGGGAGAAGCCUUUAGCGUAGGAGAGUACUAACUGUAAGGUAGGCGCCCUCUAGCGCUAGGGUGCGGAUACCCUUAGUAGGCUUUGGCCGUCUAGCGUACGUUUAACAACUAACUUAGAACUAGUAUAGAUAAGGGGAAUCUAACUGUCUAAUUAAAAUAUAGUAUUAUAAUAGCUAGAAAGUAGUAUUAACGUAAUAUAAUUUCUGCCUAGUACUCUGAAUGUUAAAGCGAAGAGAUUCGACUAAGCGUAGGUAAACGGCGAGAGUAACUAUAACUCUCUUAAGGUAGCUAAAUGCUUCGUUAUCUAAUUAGUAACGCGUAUAAAUAGAUUAAUAAGAUUCCUACUAUCUCUAUCUACUAUCUAGCGAAACUAUAGCUAAGGGAACGGGCUUAGCUAAAUUAGCGGGGAAAGAAGACCCUAUUAAGCUUAACUCUACUUUAAUAUUAUAAAAAGAUAUAGAGGGUAUAGGAUAGGUAGGAGCUUCGGCGCUAGUAAAAUACUACUACUCUUAUUAUUUUUUUACUUAUUUAAUAAAGUAGAGCUAGGUUUUACCGCCUAACUUCUAGCGUUAAGGUCCUUUAUAGGCUAAUCUAGGUUAAAGAUAUUAUUAAGUAGGGAGUUUAGCUAGAGCGGUAUAUCUAUUAAACUAUAACGUAGGUAUUCUAAGGGGGACUUAUAGAGAAUAGAAAUCUCUAGUAGAGCAAAAGGGCAAAAGUCCCCUUGAUUUUAAUUUUUAGUGUAAAUACAAACUAUAAAAGUAUAGCCUAUUAAUCCUUUAGUCCCUCAAAAUUUAAGGCUAGAGGUGCUAGAAAAGUUACUAUAGGGAUAACUGGCUUAUAGUAGCCAAGCGUUUAUAGCGACGUUACUUUUUAAUUCUUUAAUAUUAGCUCUUCCUAUUAUACUAAAGCAGAAUUUGGUAAGCGUUAGAUUAUUUACCUACUAAUAGGGAACGUGAGCUAGGUUUAGACUAUUAUAAGAUAGGUUAGUUUUACUCUACUAAUAACCUUGCUCUAAUAGUAAUACUGCUUAGUACGAGAGGAACCGCGGUUUUAGAUAAUUAGUUUUUGCGGCUGUCUAACUAGGCAUUACUAUAAAGCUACUAUCUACUAGAUUAUAGCUAAACGCCUCUAAGUUAGAAUCUAUACUAGAAUAGGGUGAUUUCCGCCUAUACUAGUUGGAUACGAAUAGGCCUUUAGCCUAGAACCUUACUAGGCUAGCGUUAGUAGUCCUAUUAAAGUUAGGGCUGUUCGCUAGCGUAUUGU